rnacentral:lncRNA from 1 species
UGAGAACCUCUCCUGGUGUUCCUCCAGGUCCCUCCUGCUGACUUGUGUAGAGGCUGAGUCCUGGCUGUCUCUGCUAGCUAGUGCCACCCACUGCUGAUUCCUGUUUGCUAUCCAGACUCUACCGAAUUGGACUGCUGCUGUAUCUGUGAAGUGUUUGCCAGUGGAUCACGCUGCUGCUGCUGCUGCUGCUGCUGCUGCUGCUGCUGCUAACCUGGGAACUGAAUUACCGACUUUCCGACAACACAGAUGGAAGUUGCUCCAAAGAGCCAUUUCUAAACAGGUGUGAAAUAUCACUCUCAUAUGAUGAGGAGACUUUGUAUUUGGGAUUUGGAACCUAGGAAGUUCUGAGCCUGUAUCACACGUGCGGACACCCCAGCCUCGGCCAUCAUUAGUGCGGAAGAUGCAGAGGUCAUAGCGGAUGCCUUUCUGGACUACACGGUUUGGGCAGUCAUAGCCACAGCAACAGCGGGAGUUGCACUCAUAGAUGGGCUGCCCAGCUUUCAGUCGCACCUGGCCCUGGUCAUUGUAGGCAAACUUAUGCAGGGAUGCUCCAGGGCAACAGCCUCCAGUGGGUGCCAACAGACAGUCCUGGCACUCACAGCCAACAGCUACCUGGUUAAGGGUGAUGCCCUCACCAACUCGAUACUCAUUGAUAUAGACAAAGGACCUUGGAGGGCCAUCCAGGUCUACUUCAUUCUCCACGGUGAUCCGCCCCAGGUGGCUGCGCUUGGCAUUGAGCUCUUGUUCCCAACGCUGCAGUGCUCGCCUCUGCUUCGCCUUCUGCACCAGCUAACGACAUUCGGGCCUAACCGGCCUCGCGAGAAGAGAGCGCGC